rnacentral:sRNA from 1 species
CCGGAAGUUAUUUUAUCAAGAGGGGUUUUUUAUGCAUUUCAUCUUGGCUUACUGAUGAAGGUUUUCUACAUGAAUAGAACAUGGCUUGAGAUGGCAGCAGGAAAUCCAUUCGGAAAGGUAAGAAAGGAAAAGGAAGGGGGGAAAGACUUUUCUUGGGGGGGAGUCUCCUUCUCGUCUGACACUUUCCCCCAAGCUACACUACAUCGAUUCUCUAUCUUUGUCUCUCUCUCUCUCCCUCCGAUUCAUCACUGUUUUUUUUAUAUAUGCCGCGAUCAAAGAAGUCAGAGCCGCAGAUUCGACGGCCGCCAAGUAUCUGGAGAUCCCUCUACUUCUUGAAUAUUCAACUUCUUCAGAACUGACUAAUUUUACUAGUUACAAUGAAUUGUUGGGAAAUUUUUCUGCCUUCCGAUAAACUGAACGUCUUACGGAAGCCUUGUGGACCUUGGUUUAACGGAAUUUGGGUUAUCGAAAUUUGGUUUAUAUUAACGUUCUAUUGAUGUUAUGAAUUUGAACAAGAGGAAAAGCUUUGACCUUGUACGAUCACCAGCAAUUAUGUGCUUCUUGAUAUUUGGUACUGAAUCAAACCAACUUAUCUCUUUCUAAA